GGGGUAAAAUUAAUAAAUAAAAUGAAUAAAAAAAAAAUUUUUUAAGUUAAAAUUAUUUAAUGGGGGUUAAAGUAUUUUAAUAAAAAAAAUUUUUAAUUUUAUAGUGAAUUAGUAUUGUGAAAGAAUUUUGAAAUAAUUUUAAAAAGAAAUUAAUUAAAAAGUAAUUUUAAUUUAAUGUAUCUUGUGUAUCAGAGUUUAUCAAUAAAAAUUUAUAGGGGGGGAUAAAUUUUUCGAAUUUAAAAGAGAUAAUUAAUUAGUAAAGUUAUUGUGGCAAAAAUAUUUUUAAUAAUUAAUUUGAAAUGAAAUGUUAAUCGUUUUUAAAUAUAUCUAGUUUUUUUAGAAAAAAAUUUAAUUUUAAAUUUUUAAUUUAAAAAUAUUAAAUAAUUAAUAUUUUUAUUAUGAAAAUUUUAUAGUUUAAGGGAUAAGCUUUAAAUUAAAUUUAUAUAAGAAUUAUAGUAAUUAAAAAUUAAAGUUUUUAUAAUUUAUAUUGUUAAUAAAAUUUAAUUUUUUAUAAAUAAUUUUAUUUAAAUAAAAAAUUUAAAAUAAAAAUUUAUAUUUAUAUAAAAAAGUAAAUUUUAAUUUAAAAAAUUUAAUUAUAAUGAUAAAAUUAGUAUAUAAAAGUUUUUAAAAAAAUUUAAUUUAAAAUAAUUAAUUAAAAGGAAUUCGGCAAAUAUUAUAUUCACUUGUUUAUCAAAAACAUGUCUUUUUGUAAAUAAUUUAAAGUCUAAUCUGCCCACUGAUUAUUAUUAAAGGGCUGCAGUAUAUUGACUGUACAAAGGUAGCAUAAUCAAUAGUCAUUUAAUUGAUGACUUGUAUGAAAGAUUGGAUGAAAUAUAAACUGUCUCUUAAUUAACUUGUAGAAUUUAAUUUUUUAAUUAAAAAGUUAAAAUAAAUUAAAAAGACGAGAAGACCCUAUAGAGUUUUAUAGUUUUAAUUAUUGAAAUUAUUUAUAAAAUAAAAUAUUAUAUAAUAAUUAUAAUUAUUUUAUUGGGGUGAUAGAAAAAUAAAUUAAACUUUUUUUUAAGAUUUACAUUGAUAAGUGAAAUUUUGAUCCAAUUUUAUUGAUUAUAAGAAAAAAUUACCUUAGGGAUAACAGCGUAAUUUUUUUUUUUAGUUCGUAUAAGAAAAAAAGUUUGCGACCUCGAUGUUGGAUUAAGAUAAAAUUUAAAUGUAGAAGUUUAAAAUUUUGAUCUGUUCGAUCAUUAAAAUCUUACAUGAUCUGAGUUCAAACCGGUGUAAGCCAGGUUGGUUUCUAUCUUUUAUAAAAUAAAAUAUUUUAGUACGAAAGGAAUAAAUAUUAAAAUUAAAUUUUUUAAAAAAGAAUAUUAUUAAUAUAAAAAAAAAUAAAUAAAGUUUAAUGUAUAAUUAAACUAUUUUGGCAGAGAAAUGUGAU
rnacentral:rRNA from 1 species